rnacentral:rRNA from 1 species
CCUACGGGUGGCAGCAGUGGGGAAUAUUGGACAAUGGGGGGAACCCUGAUCCAGCCAUGCCGCGUGUGUGAAGAAGGCCCUCGGGUUGUAAAGCACUUUCAGUGAGGAAGAACGCCUGGUGGUUAAUACCCAUCAGGAAAGACAUCACUCACAGAAGAAGCACCGGCUAACUCCGUGCCAGCAGCUGCGGUAAUACGGAGGGUGCGAGCGUUAAUCGGAAUUACUGGGCGUAAAGCGCGCGUAGGUGGCUUGAUAAGCCGGUUGUGAAAGCCCCGGGCUCAACCUGGGAACGGCAUCCGGAACUGUCGAGCUAGAGUGCAGGAGAGGAAGGUAGAAUUCCCGGUGUAGCGGUGAAAUGCGUAGAGAUCGGGAGGAAUACCAGUGGCGAAGGCGGCCUUCUGGACUGACACUGACACUGAGGUGCGAAAGCGUGGGUAGCAAACAGGAUUAGAUACCCUUGUAGUC